rnacentral:rRNA from 1 species
CAAUAAGCGGAGGAAAAGAAACUAACAAGGAUUCCCCUAGUAACUGCGAGUGAAGCGGGAAAAGCUCAAAUUUAAAAUCUGUCAGCUUUGGCUGUCCGAGUUGUAAUCUAGAGAAGCGUUAUCCGCGCUGGACCGUGUACAAGUCUCCUGGAAUGGAGCGUCAUAGAGGGUGAGAAUCCCGUCUUUGACACGGACUGCCAGGGCUUUGUGAUGCGCUCUCAAAGAGUCGAGUUGUUUGGGAAUGCAGCUCAAAAUGGGUGGUAAAUUCCAUCUAAAGCUAAAUAUUGGCGAGAGACCGAUAGCGAACAAGUACCGUGAGGGAAAGAUGAAAAGAACUUUGGAAAGAGAGUUAAACAGUACGUGAAAUUGCUGAAAGGGAAACGCUUGAAGUCAGUCGCGUUGUCCAGGGAUCAACCUUGCUUUUGCUUGGUGUACUUUCUGGUUGACGGGUCAGCAUCAAUUUUGACUAUUGGAAAAAGGUCAGGGGAAUGUGGCAUCUUCGGAUGUGUUAUAGCCCUUGGUUGCAUACAAUGGUUGGGAUUGAGGAACUCAGCACGCCGCAAGGCCGGGUUUUUAACCACGUACGUGCUUAGGAUGCUGGCAUAAUGGCUUUAAUCGACCCGUCUUGAAACACGGACCAAGGAGUCUAACAUGCCUGCGAGUGUUUGGGUGGAAAACCCGAGCGCGUAAUGAAAGUGAAAGUUGAGAUCCCUGUCGUGGGGAGCAUCGACGCCCGGACCAGACCUUUUGUGACGGUUCCGCGGUAGAGCAUGUAUGUUGGGACCCGAAAGAUGGUGAACUAUGCCUGAAUAGGGUGAAGCCAGAGGAAACUCUGGUGGAGGCUCGUAGCGAUUCUGACGUGCAAAUCGAUCGUCAAAUUUGGGUAUAGGGGCGAAAGACUAAUCGAACCAUCUAGUAGCUGGUCU